ACGCCGGGCUGCGCUUUCUUGGCCUCGGAUUCCCCAGCUGGCAGGGCCUGAGCGCUUGUCGUGGACGCAGCCUUGUGUCAUCUGUGCCCGCGCCCUCAUCAGCCUCACACGCAGCCUUGCGUGGCCCCCCAAGGCGAGUUCUGUGUGGUCACCCCCAUUUCUCAGAGGGGGAGCAGAGGCCUAGGAAGCCAUUAGCUCCUAAUCUGGCAAGGAGCCCUGGAAGGCCACCCCAGCGCACACCCUGACCACAGCGUCAUCCCGCUCCCCACGCGGCCUGGCACCCCCAAUCCUGCUCCUUAGAUGGUCCAGGGUGGAGAAGGCAGGAAGUGUCCUCCGUGCCGAGACCUGAAGGAGGCAAGCGAGGCAGCCAGACAGCGACGGGCACAGAAGAGCGAAAGCCGAGGGAACAGCAGGUGCCAAGGCCCUGCGGUGGGAACGGGUGGCAGCCGGGAACGGGAGAAAGCAGGGCCUCGGCGUCCAGCAGACCUGGGCUCACAUCCGGAAGACAAUUUGCCACGUCCCUGCAAUUGCCAAGUCCCUCCCUCCACCCCACUCCCCGACCCUCACUCUCCUCAUCUGUGAAGCGGGCACAAUAGUACCCACCUCCUGGGGCUGCAGUGGGCAGUAAGUGAGGUCAAGUGCAUAUUGGGUCUGGCACACAGUAGGUGCUCAAUAACAGCAGCCUGGUCCUGUAGGAGGUGGCAGCUGGUCAGCUGGAGCCAGCUCAGCCACCUCGGCGGGUGAUCUUGCUGCCCUCCCCACUAGUGGGACCUGACUCCGUGGCAAUGUCAGAUCUGACUCCCGGGGAUGAAUCUGGACCCGGCAUCGUGGGAUUGAGAACAUCUUCUUGACCAAAAGUGGGAUGUGAAAUG